GAUGAACGCUGGCGGCGUGCUUAAUACAUGCAAGUCGAACGAAGCACCUCUCCCGAAGAUUGAUCUAGCUUGCUAGUGAUUGAUUCAUUUGAGGUGACUGAGUGGCGGACGGGUGAGUAACGCGUGGGUAACCUGCCUUAUACAGGGGGAUAACAGUUAGAAAUGACUGCUAAUACCGCAUAAGCGCACAGUAUCGCAUGAUACAGGUGUGAAAAACUCCGGUGGUAUAAGAUGGACCCGCGUCUGAUUAGCUAGUUGGUGAGGUAACGGCCCACCAAGGCAACGAUCAGUAGCCGACUUGAGAGAGUGAUCGGCCACAUUGGGACUGAGACACGGCCCAAACUCC
rnacentral:rRNA from 1 species